rnacentral:rRNA from 1 species
UGGGGGAUAUUGGACAAAUGGGGGGGAACCCUGAAUCCAGCGACGCCGCGUGAGUGAAGAAGUAUUUCGGUAUGUAAAGCUCUAUCAGCAGGGAAGAAAGAAAUGACGGUACCUGAGUAAGAAGCCCCGGCUAACUACGUGCC